UGAGACUACUUCAUACCAGGUCUGUGUUUCAUGUAGUCUUACCCUGGCGUGACGUUUUGAUAACCAUGGAAAUCUCUCUUGGACAAGGGAACUUUUAUCAAUAUAUUCACCUGUAAUUACCUCCCCAAAAAUGAAACGCUAAUUAGCCGCUAAUGUGGCUAUCGUACAGAACUACACAUCCUGUCGCAAGCUUCGACGUCACCCCUCAAGACACAUUUCUCCACGCAAACUCUCAUCAACAAGUAUCAAGUUACCCUAGCAAGUAGAUAUUAUAGCCUUUUUUUUGUUUUUUCGUCUAACAUUAGGUCUCUCCGUCGAUCAGAAGCAAGCAUGUUUCUGUGCUAUGUACCGGAUUUAAACCACUACUCCGAUAAGUACACAUUUGUAUUUUAUAAUUUGUGUAACUUUUUAAUGUGGUGACAUGCUAGCUACCAUUUGCCCAACAAGGAAGGGAUAUUUUGCUAGCUAGUUAAUGCUAACUCACCGUUCGUGUAGUCAGACUUGCUAACUAACGUUAGCCCACCAGGGAAGGGAUAUUUAGCUAACUAGUUGAUGCUAACUCACCGUUCGUAUAGUCAGACUUGCUAGCUAACGUUAGGCCGGCACCAUGGCAAGGAUAGUUGGUUAGCUAGCACGUCACCGCUUAGAAAAGUCUGACUGCACGGAACGGUAAGCUAAUGUUAAAUAACUAGCUAGCUAAAUAUUGCCUGAUGGGCUAACUAGUUAGGUACCUUGGUUUGUUAGUUAGCUACAUUAGAUAAAGUUGGCUAGCUAGACUCAUCGCAAUGUUUCACCUCUUCAGGGCAAAUAGUACCCUAGACUGUACAAGAUGUGUUUGUAUUUACUUAAAACAAUGUGUUUUCUGUCCAGAUAAAGAUGGUGAUACAGGAUUGAAAAAGAGCUUAAUCGACAUUUUGACUUGUUUAGACAUGAGGCGGGAACAUCAGGCUCACCCCACGAGAAGCAGGGCAUGAAUGUAAAUAUUUUCACUGUUGCAGUGCCGACUUUGGGAGCAUGUGGUCCUUGAAACACUCCUCUAGUCCAGCAAUAGGAGUCUGCCAGAGGUCAUCACGCUGGAUG